CRRCCRCSGUWAUUCCAGCUCCAAUAGCGUAUAUUAAAGUUGUUGCAGUUAAAAAGCUCGUAGUUGAAUUUCGGGAUUGACACAUCGGUCGUGCCUUAAGGGGUAUGAACUGGUGUAGUCAAUUUCUCACCUUCUGGAGAACCGCGAUGCCCUUAAUUGGGUGUCACGGGGAACCAGGACUUUUACUUUGAAAAAAUUAGAGUGUUUAAAGCAGGCAUUUUGCUUGAAUACAUUAGCAUGGAAUAAUAAAAUAGGACGGCAUGAUUCUAUUUUGUUGGUUUCUAGGAUCACCGUAAUGAUUAAUAGGGAUAGUUGGGGGCAUUAGUAUUCAAUUGUCAGAGGUGAAAUUCUUGGAUUUAUUGAAGACUAACUACUGCGAAAGCAUUUGCCAAGGAUGUUUUCAUUAAUCAAGAACGGAAGUUAGGGGAUCGAAGACGAUCAGAUACCGCCGUAGUCUUAACCAUAAACUAUGCCGACUAGGAAUCAGACGGUGUUAWUWUKYYMAUGACUCGUUCGGCGCCUACGGGGAAAAAAAAAAAUU
rnacentral:rRNA from 1 species